AUUACUUUGGUAGAAUAGUACAUUAAAUUUAGAAUUUAAUUAAAUAAUAUAAUAUAUUAUAGGUAAUA
rnacentral:tRNA from 1 species